rnacentral:rRNA from 1 species
UACGUAGGGCGCGAGCGUUGUCCGGAAUUAUUGGGCGUAAAGCGCACGUAGGCGGUUCGUUAAGUCGGAUGUGAAAGCCCUCGGCUCAACUGAGGAAGUGCACCCGAAACUGGCGAGCUUGAGUACGAAAGAGGAUCGCGGAAUUCCCGGUGUAGAGGUGAAAUUCGUAGAUAUCGGGAGGAACACCGGUGGCGAAGGCGGCGAUCUGGGUCGAUACUGACGCUGAGGUGCGAAAGCGUGGGGAGCAAACAGG